AGAGUUUGAUCCUGGCUCAGGAUGAACGCUAGCGGCAGGCUUAACACAUGCAAGUCGAGGGGCAGCACGUAAAGUGGUAACACUUUUGGUGGCGACCGGCGGACGGGUGCGUAACGCGUAUGCAACCUGCCCGUAACAGGGGGAUAAUCCGGAGAAAUUUGGUCUAAUACCCCAUAAUAUCAUUCGCGGCAUCGUGAAUGAUUGAAAUUUUCGGAGGUUACGGAUGGGCAUGCGUAGCAUUAGCUUGUUGGUGAGGUAACGGCUCACCAAGGCGACGAUGCUUAGGGGGACUGAGAGGUUUUCCCCCCACACUGGUACUGAGACACGGACCAGACUCCUACGGGAGGCAGCAGUGAGGAAUAUUGGUCAAUGGACGGAAGUCUGAACCAGCCAUGCCGCGUGCAGGAAGACGGCUCUAUGAGUUGUAAACUGCUUUUGUACAGGGAUAAUUGCCGAUACGUGUAUCGGUUUGAAGGUACUGUACGAAUAAGGAUCGGCUAACUCCGUGCCAGCAGCCGCGGUAAUACGGAGGAUCCAAGCGUUAUCCGGAUUUAUUGGGUUUAAAGGGUGCGUAGGCGGUUUGAUAAGUUAGAGGUGAAAUCUCGGGGCUCAACUCCGAAAUUGCCUCUGAUACUGUUGGACUAGAGAACAGUUGCGGUAGGCGGAAUGUAUGGUGUAGCGGUGAAAUGCUUAGAGAUCACACAGAACACCGAUUGCGAAGGCAGCUUACCAAUCUAUAUCUGACGUUGAGGCACGAAAGCGUGGGUAGCAAACAGGAUUAGAUACCCUGGUAGUCCACGCAGUAAACGAUGAUAGCUCGUUGUCGGCGAUACACAGUCGGUGACUUAGCGAAAGCGUUAAGCUAUCCACCUGGGGAGUACGUUCGCAAGAAUGAAACUCAAAGGAAUUGACGGGGGCCCGCACAAGCGGAGGAACAUGUGGUUUAAUUCGAUGAUACGCGAGGAACCUUA
rnacentral:rRNA from 1 species